rnacentral:rRNA from 1 species
CGAAACUCGGGGCCAGCAGCCGCGGGAGUGCGGAGGGGGCAGGGGGUAAUGGGAUGGACGGGGCGUAAAGCGUGAGUAGGGGGGUCGAUAAGUCGAUUGUGAAAGCCCUGGGCGCAACCGUGGAAGUGCAGUCGAUACGGGGGAGCUAGAGUUCGGUAGAGGGUGACGGAAGUCCCGGUGUAGCGGUGAAAUGCGUAGAUAUCGGGAGGAACAUCGAUGGCGAAGGCAAUCACCUGGGCCUGAACUGACACUGAGACACGAAAGCAUGGGUAGCAAACAGGAUUAGAUACCCCUGUAGUC